GAUGGACGCUGGCGGCGUGCCUAAUACAUGCAAGUCGAGCGAACAGACGAGGAGCUUGCUCCUCUGACGUUAGCGGCGGACGGGUGAGUAACACGUGGAUAACCUACCUAUAAGACUGGGAUAACUUCGGGAAACCGGAGCUAAUACCGGAUAAUAUAUUGAACCGCAUGGUUCAAUAGUGAGAGACGGUUUUGCUGUCACUUAUAGAUGGAUCCGCGCCGCAUUAGCUAGUUGGUAAGGUAAAGGCUUACCAAGGCAACGAUGCGUAGCCGACCUGCGAGGGUGAUCGGCCACGCUGGAACUUAAACACGGUCCUGACUCCUACAGGAGGCAGAAGUAGGGAAUCUUCCGCAAUGAGCGAAAGCCUGACGGAGCAACGCCGCGUGAUUGAUGAAGGUCUUCGGAUCGUAAAACUCUGUUAUUAGGGAAGAACAAAUGUGUAAGUAACUAUGCACGUCUUGACGAUACCUAAUCAGAAAGCCACGGCUAACUACGUG
rnacentral:rRNA from 1 species